GCCAACGUAGCUCAGCGGUAGAGCAUUGGACUUUUAAUCCAAUGGCCGUGGGUUCGAUCCCCACCGUUGGCG
rnacentral:tRNA from 1 species